rnacentral:pre_miRNA from 1 species
ACCACUGAGCUAAAUCCCCAGCCCUAAAAUUAUUCUUAAGAAGUAAAAUCUAUUGAGCUGGGGAUUUAGCUCAGUGGU